AUUGAACGCUGGCGGCAUACCUUACACAUGCAAGUCGAACGGCAGCACGGGAGCAAUCCUGGUGGCGAGUGGCGAACGGGUGAGUAAAGUAUCGGAACGUGCCCAGUCGUGGGGGAUAACGUAGCGAAAGUUACGCUAAUACCGCAUACGAUCUAUGGAUGAAAGCGGGGGAUCGCAAGACCUCGCGCGAUUGGAGAGGCGGAUAUCAGAUUAGGGAGUUGGGGGGGUAAAGGCUCACAAAGCCGACGAUCUGUAGCUGGUCUGAGAGGACGACCAGCCACACUGGGACUGAGACACGGCCCAGACUCCAACGGGAGGCAGCAGUGGGGAAUUUUGGACAAUGGGCGAAAGCCUGAUCCAGCCAUGCCGCGUGCAGGAUGAAGGCCUUCGGGUUGUAAACUGCUUUUGUACGGAACGAAAAGGUUUGGCCUAAUAAGCUGAGCUCAUGACGGUACCGUAAGAAUAAGCACCGGCUAACUACGUGCCAGCAGCCGCCGUAA
rnacentral:rRNA from 1 species